rnacentral:snRNA from 1 species
GUUCAUUUUUCUUGCAAAUAUACUAAAAUUGGAAUGACAGAAGAUUAUCAUGACCUCUGCAUAGGGAUGAUCCACACAUUUGUGAGCCUUUCCAUAUUUUU